rnacentral:rRNA from 1 species
GACGAACGCUGGCGGCGUGCUUAACACAUGCAAGUCGAGCGGUAAGGCCCUUUCGGGGGUACACGAGCGGCGAACGGGUGAGUAACACGUGGGUGACCUGCCCUCUGCUCUGGGAUAAGCCUGGGAAACCGGGUCUAAUACCGGAUAUGACUCCAUGACGCAUGUUGUGGGGUGGAAAGCCUUGUGCGGCUGAGGAUGGGCCCGCGGCCUAUCAGCUUGUUGGUGGGGUGGAUGGCCUACCAA